rfam:Ixodes scapularis strain Wikel colony gcontig_1107728585550, whole genome shotgun sequence.
UAGCUCAGUUGGUAGAGCGCUCCACUUGUAAUGGAGAGGUCCCGGGUUCAAUACCCGG